CUUUACAAAAUGGUUGAUAAGCCAAUUUAAAGUUGAGCAUGAGCUGCCUAUAGUGAUUUCUUCAGAUGGGCCCAAGGUUAAUAUUUUAUUGGCCAAUAGCUGCUUCAACUUGACACAUAGGUGAUUCUUAUACUUUCCAUUGUCAGUUAUCUUAUAUCCAAAUGUAUAUUUCUUCCCCCAGGACUCAUAAAGACCAUUUUCAAUUUGAAA